AGAUUGAACGCUGGCGGCAGGCCUAACACAUGCAAGUCGAGCGGCAGCACGGGUACUUGUACCUGGUGGCGAGCGGCGGACGGGUGAGUAAUGCCUAGGAAUCUGCCUAGUGGUGGGGGAUAACGUUCGGAAACGGACGCUAAUACCGCAUACGUCCUACGGGAGAAAGCGGGGGACCUUCGGGCCUCGCGCCAUUAGAUGAGCCUAGGUCGGAUUAGCUAGUUGGUGAGGUAAUGGCUCACCAAGGCCACGAUCCG
rnacentral:rRNA from 1 species